CCAGAAAAUUGUAGACUAGCGAAUCAUUGAAUUCAACAUCUGUUACAGGGGAAAUACAAGAUAGUCUGUAAAGGAGAAUGUAGGAGGAAAGGAGUCAGAAAAGAAGUUGGAAUAAGAAGAGCUUUAUGAAUCUACAGCCAAGCAAUGGGUGUGUUUGCAUUUCUGUUUGGAACAUCAAAGCAAAAAUUGCACCAGACAAAUAAAGCCAUCUGAGAACCUUUCUGCAUUUACCAAUAUGGACUAGACGAUGCUGUGAUUGAGUUCAUGGGAAGAUGGCAGCACAUAUACAGAGGAAAGCACAGACAGAUAUUUAUGAGAAACUGGGUUUCUAGAUGAAAGAGGGAAAGUUUGUUAUUAUUUUGAGGUAUAUUUGUUGAUGUUUAAAAUUGGAAACUUUAAAGAAUAUGUCACUUACUCAAACAUGCUGCUUUUUUCUGGAAAAGAGAAAAACAAGUUUUUUAUGCGAGGUGGCGAGAUGGUUGUUAAAUGUUGUUUUGGCCGGUGCUGCCUUUUAUCUCCCCAGCUGUAUGGAUCACCUCUGCAAUAUGUCCCUUUUGUUUGCACACUGGGCUCCAGUGCCUCUCUGGGGGUGGGGGAGUGUGUGGAGGGAAACCUGUUACUUUGUUGCCCUACGACCAGAUUGUUUCAAGUCUGUGUGCAUAUUUUAUUUCAGACUUGUCUUAAAUCUUGGCUUUCUUUUCUUUCUUUCUUGCAUAUUUCUGCCCAUCCU